rnacentral:pre_miRNA from 1 species
AAAGUUCUGUGACACUUAGACUCUGAAUAUGAUAGCAGUCAGUGCACUACAGAACUUUGU